GGAAGGAAGGAACGAAGGAACGAAGGAACGAAGGAAGGAACGAACUAUGAGGGAGAAGCCUCCCCAGGACUGUGUGGAAGGUGAUAAUGAGAAUGGGCUUCAGCAACCAUCCUUCCCGGCAGCAUCGGGGCGCCCCACGUGACCCACGGGAUGAUGCUAUCACAGGUGACUGCUGGAAAGGAAGCAUGAGGACAGCCCCGAGAAAGCCACAAGACCUCUCUCAGGCUGACUAACAAAGAAGAUUAUUUCUCUGUCACAUCGCAAUCCUGACAUAAACUGUGCUGGUCAGUGAAGGAGCUCUGUUUCUUUAUGACUAUUUGGGGACCCUGGUCCUUUCCAAGUCGUUGCUCGGCCAACCCCCUUUGGAUCUCGUCAAACCGAACCCCCCCACGUCCGGAUUUUAGCCAGCAGGUGCAAGGAAGGCGUGAGGAGAAGGCAUACCCGUGGACUUAAGGCUCAAGCCGGAAAGUGGCACCAUGAUCUCUGCUCACACUUAACUUGCAAGAAUUGUGUCACACGGUCACAGAACCCCUCACUGCAGGGGAGGCUGGGGAUGGAGUCCAGCUGCGCAGUCACGAACCCAGUGAGGAGGGGAGAGAGACCUACCUCAAAUCCAGUUCUUUUGUUUACCGACGGUGUCUAGGGGCAAGUUAUGGAAACUCUUUCUACCUCCUCUGGCUCAUUCAUUGAACCGGCUCGGUAUCGUCAGUCGCUCUUCCGUUCUGCAAGUAUUUCUUGAGCACCUACUAUGGGCCGGACUCUGUUCGAGGUCCGGGGACGCAGCUUUGAACAAGACAGACCACGCCCCUUCCGCUCUGGAGCGGAUUCCCUAUAAGGCUAGUGAGGAGCCUUCUGAGGACUUUUUCUUUUCAUCCCAAAUCGAUAUUCAUUUUCAUGCUGAAUUUUACAUUCUUUUUUUUUUUUAAUUGUUUUUCUAAACAAGGACCUCAGAUUUAAAUGCUCUGCAGCCUCACAAAAUUUGGAUCUGCCCCUGUUGUUCUCAGGGAGCUAACAGCUUAGCUGGAAGAAAGAAAGUGCACAGUUAACAAACGUAUCCAACAUGAGAUGAUGGCGAGCGUUAUGUACGGUACGGUCACGGGGAGGAGAGAGAGCCCUGCGGUAUUCAGUGCAGCCUCGUGAAGUCAUGGGCUGAAACCUCUCUUUUGAUGGAGACUUCUCAUUAGGAUUAUAAAAGAAAAGAUGAGGGGCGCCUGGGUGGCUCGGUCGGUGAAGCGUCUGCCUUGGGCCCAGGUCAUGAUCUCAGGGUCCUGGGAUCGCCUCCCGCAUCAGGCU